CACAUGCAAGUCGAACGGUAGCACAGAGGAGCUUGCUCCUUGGGUGACGAGUGGCGGACGGGUGAGUAAUGUCUGGGGAUCUGCCCGAUGGAGGGGGAUAACCACUGGAAACGGUGGCUAAUACCGCAUAACGUCGCAAGACCAAAGUGGGGGACCUUCGGGCCUCACACCAUCGGAUGAACCCAGAUGGGAUUAGCUAGUAGGUGGGGUAACGGCUCACCUAGGCGACGAUCCCUAGCUGGUCUGAGAGGAUGACCAGCCACACUGGAACUGAGACACGGUCCAGACUCCUACGGGAGGCAGCAGUGGGGAAUAUUGCACAAUGGGCGCAAGCCUGAUGCAGCCAUGCCGCGUGUAUGAAGAAGGCCUUCGGGUUGUAAAGUACUUUCAGCGGGGAGGAAGGGGACGAGGUUAAUAACCCCGUUCAUUGACGUUACCCGCAGAAGAAGCACCGGCUAACUCCGUGCCAGCAGCCGCGGUAAUACGGAGGGUGCAAGCGUUAAUCGGAAUUACUGGGCGUAAAGCGCACGCAGGCGGUCUGUUAAGUCAGAUGUGAAAUCCCCGGGCUUAACCUGGGAACUGCAUUGAAAC
rnacentral:rRNA from 1 species